rnacentral:rRNA from 1 species
UACAGAGGUCUCGAGCGUUAGGCGGAAUCACUGGGCUUAAAGCGUGUGUAGGCGGAUUGCUAAGUACCUUGUGAAAUCCCACGGCUUAACCGUGGAACUGCUUGGUAUACUGGCUGUCUUGAGCCACUUAGGGGCAACCGGAACAAACGGUGGAGCGGUGAAAUGCGUAGGAUAUCGUUUGGAACGCCAAUGGUGAAAACAGGUUGCUGGGAGUGUGCUGACGCUGAGACACGAAAGCCAGGGGAGCAAACGGG